ensembl:lncRNA
GUCAGUGUGACACCACCAUGGUGAGUGUUGGUGUCAGAGUGGUGUGAGGUGGCAGCAGGGGUGUCGGUGUGACACCUCUAUGGUGAAUGUUGGUGUCACAGUGGUGUGAAAUGGCACCAGGAGUGUCACUGUGACACCUCUAUGGUGAGUGUUGGUGUCACAGUGGUGUGAGGUGGCAGUAGAGGUGUCGGUGUGACACCACCAUGGUGAGUGUUGGUGUCACAGUGGUGAAAGGUGGCACCAGGAGUGUCACUGUGACACCACCAUGGUGAGUGUUGGUGUCACAGUGGUGUGAGGUGGCACCAAGAGGGUCAGUGUGACACCACCAUGGUGAGUGUUGGUGUCACAGUGGUGUGAGGUGGCACCAGGGGUGUCGGUGUGACACCUCUAUGGUGAGUGUUGGUGUCACAGUGGUGUGAGGUGGCACCACGAGUGUCAACGUGACACCACCAUAUCCGUGUUGGUGUCACGGUGGUGUGAGGUGGCACCAGGAGUGUCAGUGUGACACCACCGUGGUGACAGUGUUGGUGUCACAGUGGUGUGAGGUGGCACCAGGAGUGUCAAUGUGACACCUCUAUGGUGAGUGUUGGUGUCACAGUGGUGUGAGGUGGCAGCAGAGGUGUCGGUGUGACACCACCAUGGUGAAUGUUGGUGUCACAGUGGUG